ACAACAUUCGGAUUAUCGGUCUACCGAGCAAUAUCACCCGCUCGGGGGAACAUCUUCCUUUCGUCGU
rnacentral:pre_miRNA from 1 species